rnacentral:lncRNA from 1 species
AAUUAUGGGAAGGAAUUGGGGAACUCCAUUCUGCUGAAAAAUGCUUAUGGGUUAUGUACCAUAGCAGCUACUGCAUUGCAAACUGCUGGCAAAAUAUGUGGCAAGUUAAGUUGUAAGUUAUCUGCUGAUCUCCCUAACCUUUUUCCACCAGCUCCCCUGUGGCAGGAAAGCUUAAGUUCACUGAGAAGGCUCAAACUUCUUCCUCUCCAUCUCCAGUCUUGCAGGAUGUCGCUCAGAUUCUCUCACUUCUCCCACUGCAGAGUGCUGGGGAAAAACAAAAAAAAAAAAGAGCCUCACAGGUUUGCAGUCUCACCCAGUUGCUGUGUUUAUUCUCAAGGAACUGCAUUUAAGAAAAGAAAGAAAAGAGAAAUGGAAAAACCAGCCAUCUCAUGGAAAGCCUUGGAACACUCAGAUCACCGUUCAGCUUUGCACUGAUUCUAAAAGCUCCGUCAUAGACUUCUGGCAUUACAAAACUUCAUUUACAACUAUCCUUUCUAAUUUCUGUCAGCUGCAGCCCAAAAAUAUCCAUAGUCUAGCAGAUUUAACAAAAAAAGACGUAAGAUCUGGCAGCUAAACUCAGAUACGAGACGCAUUCCAGCCUCUGAGGGGGCUCCCAGCAGUGCCUUGGGCUGGGACCCAGCACCUUGGGAUGGGUCUGAGGGCAGAGAUGCAGAGUUUUGGCUCCCAAGGCUGCACAACACUCUAGGUUGUGUAUUUGGGGGGCUGUGUGGUACCACAGAUCUCCCCACAACACACCUGCUAUGCACAGUCUACGUCUUUCUUCCCUGAUUUCCUGCAAACCAGCCCAACUGGAAGACAACUGCGGUGUAUUGUAGAGGAAAAGUCCCAUGUUGCUUCCAUUCCUGCUGUCUCCUCAUUUGUGAUUCGGUGGCAUCAGACUUCUAACUUUUGAAGAGAAAAGAUACUAAAACUGAAAAAAAAUCCUCCUCUGGUGACACACUUCAUUUCAUACUUAGUGAAAUAUAAAGACCUCUUUAAUAGAAAGUAAUAUAUUUAAACAAAUUAAAAAUAGCCCCACUAAUUUCUUUUUAAUCAUAAGCUAACUUAGGUGUUUGACCUCUUUAUUUCCUUUUGCUGCUUCUCAUCUUCAGUGAUUUGAGCCCUCACAUCUAGAGAGGUUUUUUUUCCUUUUUUUUUCCUUUCCAGGGAAAAAGAACAAGGCUGCUUGAGGUGCCUGAGAAACACCAGCAUUGAAAUAGACCCAGACCCAUCACUCCCUUUCAUCCCAUUUUAGGUACAGGAGGCCUGAUGGAUCAGCUUUUCCUCCAGGAAAGCCAGGAUUAAGGAGGUCAGGUCAGCAGUGUGAGCAGGCCUUUAAGAGCAGUGUGGGAACACAGGGCUCUCUUAUCAACACGUUAAUGUACUGAACCUAAAGCUCAUUUUAACGAGAUGGAGACCGUAGAGUCCUCCCCUG